rnacentral:rRNA from 1 species
AGUCAAGUAAUUAAGUGCAUGUGGUGGAUGCCUUGGCAGUCAGAGGCGAUGAAAGACGUGAUAGCCUGCGAAAAGCUCCGGGGAGGCGGCAAAUAUCCUUUGAUCCGGAGAUGUCUGAAUGGGGGAACCCACCUACUUUAAGGUAGGUAUUGCAACAUGAAUACAUAGUGUUGCAAGGCGAACGAGGGGAAGUGAAACAUCUCAGUACCCUUAGGAAAAGAAAUCAAUUGAGAUUCCCUCAGUAGCGGCGAGCGAACGGGGAUCAGCCCAUUAAGUUAUGUGUGUUUUAGUGGAACGCUCUGGGAAGUGCGAACGUAGAGGGUGAUAUUCCCGUACACGAAAGGGCACACAUAAUGAUGACGAGUAGGGCGAGGCACGUGAAACCUUGUCUGAAUAUGGGGGGACCAUCCUCCAAGGCUAAAUACUCCUGACUGACCGAUAGUGAACCAGUACCGUGAGGGAAAGGCGAAAAGAACCCCUGUGAGGGGAGUGAAAUAGAUCCUGAAACCGCAUGCAUACAAGCAGUGGGAGCACCUUCGUGGUGUGACUGCGUACCUUUUGUAUAAUGGGUCAGCGACUUAUAUUCAGUAGCGAGGUUAACCGUAUAGGGGAGCCGUAGAGAAAUCGAGUCUUAAUAGGGCGUUUAGUUGCUGGGUAUAGACCCGAAACCAGGCGAUCUAUCCAUGAGCAGGUUGAAGGUUGGGUAACACUAACUGGAGGACCGAACCCACUGUCGUUGAAAAGCCAGGGGAUGACUUGUGGAUAGGGGUGAAAGGCUAAUCAAGCCUGGUGAUAGCUGGUUCUCCCCGAAAGCUAUUUAGGUAGCGCCUCGGACGAAUACCAUAGGGGGUAGAGCACUGUUUCGGCUAGGGGGUCAUCCCGACUUACCAAACCGAUGCAAACUCCGAAUACCUAUGAGUACUAUCCGGGAGACAGACUGCGGGUGCUAACGUCCGUAGUCAAGAGGAAAACAAUCCAGACCGCCAGCUAAGGCCCCAAAAUCAUAGUUAAGUGGGAAACGAUGUGGGAAGGCAUAGACAGCUAGGAGGUUGGCUUAGAAGCAGCCACCCUUUAAAGAAAGCGUAAUAGCUCACUAGUCGAGUCGGCCUGCGCGGAAGAUGUAACGGGGCUAAAACUAUGUGCCGAAGCUGCGGAUGUAUACUUUGUAUACGUGGUAGGGGAGCGUUCUGUAAGCCGAUGAAGGUGUGUUGAGAAGCAUGCUGGAGGUAUCAGAAGUGCGAAUGCUGACGUGAGUAACGACAAAACGGGUGAAAAACCCGUUCGCCGAAAGACCAAGGGUUCCAGUCCAACGUUAAUCGGGGCUGGGUGAGUCGACCCCUAAGGCGAGGCCGAAAGGCGUAGUCGAUGGGAAAAUGGUUAAUAUUCCAUUACUUCUGUGUAAUGCGAUGAGAGGACGGAGAAGGCUAAAUCAGCCUGGCGUUGGUUGUCCAGGUGAAAGGAUGUAGGCAUGUAUCUUAGGCAAAUCCGGGGUACUCUAUGCUGAGAUCUGAUAGCAAGCUGUACUUGUACAGCGAAGUGGUUGAUGCCAUGCUUCCAGGAAAAGUCUCUAAGCUUCAGUUACACAGGAAUCGUACCCGAAACCGACACAGGUGGUCAGGUCGAGUAGACCAAGGCGCUUGAGAGAACUCUGCUGAAGGAACUAGGCAAAAUGGUACCGUAACUUCGGGAGAAGGUACGCUGUUGUUGGUGAUGGAACUCGCUUCCUGAGCUGACGACAGCCGCAGAAACCAGGCCGCUGCAACU